rnacentral:rRNA from 1 species
GACGUAGGAGGCGAGCGUUAUCCGGAUUCACUGGGCGUAAAGCGCACGUAGGCGGUUGUGAAAGUCCGUUGUUAAAGCCCCUGGCUCAACUGGGGGAGGUCAAUGGAGACUUUAUGACUUGAGGGCAACAGAGGCAUGUGGAACUCCUGGUGUAGCGGUGAAAUGCGUAGAGAUCAGGAGGAACACCCGUGGCGAAGGCGGCUCCCUGGUCCGUUUCUGACGCUGAGACGCGAAAGCGCGGGGAGCGAACGGG